rnacentral:lncRNA from 1 species
GAUUACUGGAGAUCAAAGCAAUGAGUUUUUCAUCUUUCUGGGUUGUUCAGUGCGGGGAAAUCGGGUGCAAUUUCAAGAUAUCGAAGAAGUUCAACAUUGGGGAUCGUCACCAUAUCUUAUUCUAGAACAUUUGGGUUACGAAUCCAUUCAUCUUUUUGUCUUCGUUUAUUCAAAUCAUGUCCGACUAAGCCUUUUGCGACUAAGAUUAACAAUGAAACCUUGUAUUUUGAAUUAAUUUGAAGUUGCUUGUUUUUAGUUCAUUCUUAUUUUCUGGAUUGAUUAUUUAUUAUUCACUUAUUCCAUUUUAUGCUUGAUUGCC